rnacentral:rRNA from 1 species
AGCGGAGGAAAAGAAACCAACAGGGAUUGCCUCAGUAACGGCGAGUGAAGCGGCAACAGCUCAAAUUUGAAAUCUGGCCCCUUCGGGGUCCGAGUUGUAAUUUGCAGAGGGUGCUUUUGGUGUUGGCCGUGGUCUAAGUUCCUUGGAACAGGACGUCACAGAGGGUGAGAAUCCCGUACGUGGCCGCCGGCCCUCGCCUUGUAAAGCCCCUUCGACGAGUCGAGUUGUUUGGGAAUGCAGCUCUAAAUGGGAGGUAAAUUUCUUCUAAAGCUAAAUACCCGCCAGAGACCGAUAGCGCACAAGUAGAGUGAUCGAAAGAUGAAAAGCACUUUGGAAAGAGAGUGAAAAAGCACGUGAAAUUGUUGAAAGGGAAGCGCUUGCGGCCAGACGUGCCCGCGGUUGUUCAUCUGGGCUCUCGCCCGGUGCACUCCUCCGCGGGCAGGCCAGCAUCAGUUUGGGCGGUCGGACAAAGGUCUCUAUCACGUACCACCCCUCGGGGUGGCCUUAUAGGGGAGACGCAACACGGCCAGCCUGGACUGAGGUUCCGCGCAUCUGCUAGGAUGCUGGCGUAAUGGCAGCAAGCGGCCCGUCUUGAAACACGGACCAAGGAGUCUAACAUCUAUGCGAGUGUUUGGGUGUCAAGCCCGAGCGCGUAAUGAAAGUGAACGGAGGUGGGAACCCCUCGGGGCGCACCAUCGACCGAUCCUGAUGUCUUCGGAUGGAUUUGAGUAAGAGCAUAGCUGUUGGGACCCGAAAGAUGGUGAACUAUGCCUGAAUAGGGUGAAGCCAGAGGAAACUCUGGUGGAGGCUCGCAGCGGUUCUGACGUGCAAAUCGAUCGUCAAAUUUGGGCAUAGGGGCGAAAGA